AAAAUACCACACAUUGCAGAUGCUAGUGGACAAAGAUGAACGAUUUUGUUCAAAAACAAAGACUGGGAAUUCCGUAAAACAGGAAACACCCUUUGAAACAGAAAAGAGAAGGAGCCCAUAGAUUAGAGAGGGUGACAGGGUUGUAUUGAAAUCAAAGACCACAUCAUUUGAUGUGAUCAAAAUCGUGAAGGUGGAAUUUUAUCAUAACAGUGAUGUGUUGUUUAAAGACGGUGGACACCAUCAGGAGUUGGGUGAGGAUAACUUUUUUUCUUUCAGGACACUGCAACAAUAAUUUGUUCAACCUUUGUCUUUGUCUCUCCCCUUUUCUCUUGUGUCCUGUUGUAUUUCUGUUGUGGAAAAUGAUAGUUUAGGUUUAAAAAGAUGAUGAAAAUUUUAAUUAGUUGCAUUACAGUGUAAAUAUUGUGAGAAGAUGUUAAAUUAUUUUUAAUGAUGUAUAAAUAUGUUAUAAAAACAACUUAAGAAAAAGAAAACGAAAAAGAGUAUUUCAUUGGAACCACACUUUUAAUAAUUUUAGAAUUUAUAAAUUUAUCAUAAAUGCACCUUUAAAAUACACUAAAAAAUAUAGGAUAUCCUCGGAAAUGUUUUGCAGAAACCAGAUGAACUUCAAAACCGACUUUUGCAUUGAUUUUAUGAUAGAUCUGUCGUGGGCUCACUGACAGCUCUGCAAGUAUGUAAAUGGCGAGCACAGGCUGGACAUGGAGUACCCUACCAAUACCAUGGGCAUUGAGCAACAGUGAACAUUAGAAGUGAGUAUCAUUAUCCAAAUUCCAAAUCAUACAGGUCAAACGUGGGUGAUGAUGUGAAUAUCUUAUGCAUUUAUGCUAGUGGGUCAAUAGAGAUGUCUUGUCGGCCAUCCCACAGUAGAUUAGUUGGGCUUAAUGUUCAACACCAAUUCGGCCUUAGUCUUAGGUGAAGUGCAAUGUUGUCGAUGGGUUUAGUCCACCACACACACAUACAUGCCAUUAUUAUUGAGUAGCUACAC
rnacentral:lncRNA from 1 species